rnacentral:rRNA from 1 species
UACGUAGGGAGCAAGCUUUGUUCGGAUUUACUGGGCGUAAAGGGCGCGUAGGCGGCAAAUUAAGUCAGCUGUGAAAUCUCCGAGCUUAACUCGGAACGGUCAGCUGAUACUGAUCUGCUAGAGUGCGGAAGGGGCAUUCGGAAUUCUUGGUGUAGCGGUGAAAUGCGUAGAUAUCAAGAGGAACACCUGAGGUGAAGACGGGUUGCUGGGCCGACACUGACGCUGAGUGCGCGAAAGCCAGGGGAGCAAACGGG